rfam:Ictidomys tridecemlineatus contig109623, whole genome shotgun sequence.
GGGGGUGUGGCUCAGUGGUAGAGCACUCGCCUAAAAUGCGUGAGGCACUGAGUUUGAUGCUCAGCACCGCAU